CAUGUCAACUCCCAGUGAUGGUUUGGCAGACAAAUGUUUACAGUGAAGUUUGUGACUUUAAUAAUCUAGGAUGAGCAUGUGGGCCAUCCCAGCCUUAUACAUCUACACAUUACGAACUAUUUAAGAUAUCUGAAUGCACUAAAGACCAAAAUAGCAUUUCCAAACAAAAUAAUUACUGCCAAGAAAUUUGACAAUCAUGACAAUAAUUUAGUGAAUAAACAUGAUAAAUAUUGAUUGGAAAAAUAAGUCCAUGAACAGCAAAAAGUGUUUUUAGAUUUCAACGAGCAAAACAAAAGUAUUCUAAAUCAUUCUUCGUAAUAAAUAAAAAAGGUGAGCGAGUGGAACCGCCUUGCUCGCACCAAAAUUGAGAUUGAGAGUGUCAAAACUGCUCUGGCACACCAUCAAUAAAUCAACGACAUUCUCUCUACCGUGGUAUUGAAGCCAGCAUUGGUAACCAAACAUAUUCAUACAGAUACAGACUACCAUUCAUCUACAAUUAGGAAGUCUGAAUAAUACUGAAAACUAUGGUGUAGAAUUUCCAACAGGACUCCUUAUUUUAUAUAAGACAAGGAGUGGUUUAUUUUCCCAUGGUUGUUACAUCAUCUUGUCUUUGAAUAUGCUCGAAGUACAGGGACUUUUAUGGAAUUCAUUGACAUGAUAGUCAAGCAAGAUGUCAACAUCUCGUCCAACCCUCUUCCAGCAAAGCCAAAGCUGACCAAGGAUCUUCACCCUUUCAAAACAGGCUGUAUACAGGACGAGUUAUUCCAGUAGGAACAGGGCUAUAUAUAUGCAAGCAAUGCUCAAUUAAGAUGAAUUUUUGUAAAAGUGACAAUAGCCAGGUCAAACUAAAUACAUGUAUAGAAGAAGAUAUUGAUCUAGACUCGCAGCUAACCUUUCUGUCAAGUGUCAACAACAACUGAACUUUCACAGCAGUCAACAUCAGAUUAGGAGACUGAUAAUGCUUCUAACAGAAACAAUUUCAACCAACCAAACAAGCAACAGAAACUUUCCAACUUUAAAACAACAUUUAAAUCUUCCAUGGGAUGAUGUCUCAAAAAAUAACAGUUCAUCAUUUAUGGAGAUUUUAAUGUUAUGGUUUUUCUUUCACAAGAAAGUUAAUGUACACUUGUUUUAUAGUAAAACCUAUAGCCGUUCAAGUAUAAAAAAACACAUUCAACUUUAUUGAAAUUUGAAGAUUCAUAUGACUUAUUUUAAUUCUGUUAUCUCUGAGGAUGUGAUGUAGAGCAUUAUAGGUACAGUAAUCUUAACAGCUAUCCAAUUUCAUUCAAAUUCCUUUUUAAAUUUUGCACUGGUAUAUAUAGACUAAGUAAUUUGUUUUUCGUCUAGUUAUGGGAUUUUUUUUUAGAAGCAUUUAUGAUUUUCAUGUUUGUAUUGACCACAUUGCAGCAACAUAGAUAUAGGUACCUGGCAAAACUUGCCUUGUUAGCAUACUAGGCUCAAAGGGUCAUAAAAAAAUUUCCAUCACUAAGUGUCUGUUAAAAUCAUCUGUUUACAGUUUUCACUUUUAAACCAUCAUCUUAAUAACUUUAGAAGAAGUGUCAUACAUAUAUAUAUAUAUAUGUAUACAAAAUUUAAAAACUUUUCAAUAUAUAUAUAUACUGAUAAAAACUAUCAACAUGACAAGAUCUAAAUACCCAAAAUUUUUCUGAAAAAUUGGACAUAACAUCUAUGAGCUAUUGUCCCUGAAAUGUGUAAAUUUACAAAUUUUCACAGUUUUCUGCUACUAUCCGACAACUAUAUCAAUAUAUUAUAAGAAUAAAUUGCAAAAGUGGUCAGAAGAAACUUUUUUUUUACAGUCUGAACUUAUUCUGAAUUGUUUAACUGCUAAUUUAAAUUGAUUGCGUUUGAAAUAUGUGUUUUUUAUCGUUUUAGGUGCACAAUUUGUCAAUACAAUCUAUUUCGGCUCCUGGGAGCCUCUAGAUUUAUAAUGAAUAAUUUUUAUUUAUGUAUGAUUAUUUUCUUAAUGUAUUAAAUGAAACAUUAAUUAUUCUU